rnacentral:rRNA from 1 species
GACGAACGCUGGCGGCGUGCCUAAUACAUGCAAGUCGAGCGGACCGACGGGAGCUUGCUCCCUUAGGUCAGCGGCGGACGGGUGAGUAACACGUGGGUAACCUGCCUGUAAGACUGGGAUAACUCCGGGAAACCGGGGCUAAUACCGGAUGCUUGAUUGAGCCGCAUGGUUCAAUUAUAAAAGGUGGCUUUCAGCUACCACUUACAGAUGGACCCGCGGCGCAUUAGCUAGUUGGUGAGGUAACGGCUCACCAAGGCGACGAUGCGUAGCCGACCUGAGAGGGUGAUCGGCCACACUGGGACUGAGACACGGCCCAGACUCCUACGGGAGGCAGCAGUAGGGAAUCUUCCGCAAUGGACGAAAGUCUGACGGAGCAACGCCGCGUGAGUGAUGAAGGUAUUCGGAUCGUAAAACUCUGUUGUUAGGGAAGAACAAGUACCGUUCGAAUAGGGCGGCACCUUGACGGUACCUAACCAGAAAGCUACGGCUAACUACGUGCCAGCAGCCGCGGUAAUACGUAGGUGGCAAGCGUUGUCCGGAAUUAUUGGGCGUAAAGCGCGCGCAGGCGGUUUCUUAAGUCUGAUGUGAAAGCCCCCGGCUCAACCGGGGAGGGUCAUUGGAAACUGGGGAACUUGAGUGCAGAAGAGGAGAGUGGAAUUCCACGUGUAGCGGUGAAAUGCGUAGAGAUGUGGAGGAACACCAGUGGCGAAGGCGACUCUCUGGUCUGUAACUGACGCUGAGGCGCGAAAGCGUGGGGAGCGAACAGGAUUAGAU